rnacentral:rRNA from 1 species
CAGUAGCCGCGGUAACACGGAGGGUGCAAGCGUUAAUCGGAAUUACUGGGCGUAAAGCGUGCGUAGGCGGUUCGUUAAGUCUGUUGUGAAAGCCCCGGGCUCAACCUGGGAAUGGCAAUGGAUACUGGCGAGCUAGAGUGUGUCAGAGGAUGGUGGAAUUCCCGGUGUAGCGGUGAAAUGCGUAGAGAUCGGGAGGAACAUCAGUGGCGAAGGCGGCCAUCCGGGACAACACUGACGCUGAGGCACGAAAGCGUGGGGAGCAAACAGGAUUAGAUACCCCGGUAGUCCCUGUCUCUUAUAC